rnacentral:rRNA from 1 species
UACGUAGGCAGCGAGCGUUGUUCGGGGUUACUGGGCGUAAAGAGUGCGUAGGCGGUUUUCUAAGUUUGGUGUGAAAUCUCCCGGCUUAACUGGGAGGGUGCGCCGAAAACUGGAAGGCUUGAGUAUGGGAGAGGUAAGCGGAAUUCCUGGUGUAGCGGUGAAAUGCGUAGAUAUCAGGAGGAACACCUGCGGUGUAGACGGCUUACUGGACCAUAACUGACGCUGAGGCACGAAAGCGUGGGUAGCAAACAGG